rnacentral:rRNA from 1 species
GGCGUACAGGUGAGUAAUACAUAGGAAUCUGCCUUACAGUCUUGAAUAAAUAAGGGUUUGAGUGUCCGGCUUAGCCACCUGAGUAGCUUGUCUACCAAAAAUGUGUUUUUUCAACGAAAAUUUGAAAACUACACGGCUAAUACAAGGCCUAUAAAUAUUAAAUAAAACAGGAUAUAUUGAAAAAUUAAUUGCUGUGAGAUGAGCCUAUGCAGGAUUAGGUGGUUGGUGGGGUAAAGGCUCACCAAGCCUGCGAUCCUUAGCUGGUUUUGGCGAACGAUCAGCCACAUUGGAACUGAGAUAAGGUCCAGACUAUGUCAGCAGUGGGGAAUAUUGGACAAUCAGCGAAAGCUUGAUCCAGUGAUAUUGCGUGAGUGAGGAAAGCACAAAAAGAUUCGGGAGUAACUAACCCGAAUCGGCUGUAAAACUCGUUCGUUAGGGAGGAAAAUGACUGUACCUAAAGAAGAAGCUCCGGCCAACCUCGUGCCAGCCGCCGCGGUAAUGCGGGGGGAGCGAGCGUUAUCCAUCAUGAUUGGGCGUAAAGUGUCUUAGAAGUUAGGCGGCAUCGACUACUUAAUGUUAAAUCUCAAGAUUAUCUCUUGAAUCCGCAUUAAAGUAAAGCUUUGCUUUGAGUACGUUAGAGGUAAACAGAAUUUUGCGAGGCGGGGUAGAAACCAUAUUCGCAGAGGAAUGCCAGUGGCGAAAGCGGUUUUCUGGGACGUACUGACGCUGAACGACGAAAGUAUGGGGAUCAAAUGGAAUUAGAUACUCCAGUAGUCCAUACUGUCAAAGAUGAAUAUUAACUUUAAGAUGAAUCCUUCUCUUAUCGUAAAGCUAACGCGUUAAAUAUUCCGCCUGGGAAGUACGAUGUCAACAUUGGAACUCAAAGGAAUUGACGGGGAGUCAUACAAGUGGUGGAGUAUGUGGUUUAAUUCGAUAACACGCGCGAAAUCUUACCAGUUCUUGAAUAUUUUUCCAAAACAAAUACGAGAGUAUUCUGUUGGUUAAGUGAAUCAAGACAUUCAUAAACAGAAAUUUACAGGUGCUGCAUGGCUGUCGUCAGCUCGUGUCGUGAGAUGUUUGGUUCAGUCCAAAAACGAGCGAAACUCUUGUUUUAUAUUGGUAGUGAUUUAGGGUCUCUUUAAUUGCCCACUUAUAAAAUACUGCCGUACUUACGUCGGAGGAAGGAGAGAACGAUGUCAAGCCUUUAUGGCCUUUAUGAACUGGGCUACACACAUACUACAAUGGUAAUCACAAAAAGUCUUGCAAAAGAGUAAUCUUGAGCUAAUCUUUAAAAAUUGCCACAUUCCGAUUAUAGGCUGCAACUCGCCUAUAUGAAGCCGGAAUCACAAGUAAUCGCAAAUUAGUACGUUGUGGUGAAUCUGUACCUGGCUCUUGCACACACCGCCCGUCACAUGCUGGAAGUUAGGCUUGCUUGAUGUUGAAGCUAUACAAUAAUUUUAACAAAACUUAAAUUUUGUUCCUUUUAUUGUGGUCGAUGCGAUUGUAAGUUUGAUGACUGGGAUGAAGUCGUAACAAGGUAGUCGUACGGGAACGUGCGGCUG